AUUUCCCCAAUGGGUUCUCCGGAUUUCUGGAGACUUGUAGGGGUUGUGGGUUUUUUCGAUGUGUCGUCUCCGGACGGGCGGUGCAGGGUAGUCGAGUUAGACUUGGUGGAAUUCGAUUCCGUCGAGUCUGGCUGGCACGAUCGUGUGCGGUUGUGUGUUGGACGGUGCAGGGUAGGCUGCUUGGACAUGGUCGGUUCGAGGAUCGAUUCGAGGGCCGGCCUGUCGAUGAUGUGUGAUGUAUGCGGUCUAGGGUAGGCGAGUUUGUCUUGGUCCAAUUUGAUGUCGGCUCCCGUGCAGGCCAGAGUGAGGGGGGUCCAGGGUAGGUACAGGGUAGGCAGCUUAGAUUUGGUCGAUCUGGAGGUCGAUUCUCCGGCUGGCGGAUCUGACACUGUCGAAACGAGAUGCGAGCGGUGUAGGGUAGGCUAGUUUCGUCCUCGCCAGGUUGCGAUUUGGACGAGAUAUGCGGUCUAGGGUAGGCUCUAGGGUAAGUAGAAUUCGAGUUUCGUCGCCGACAGUUUUCUAUGGGUGUAUGGUAGGUACAGGGUAGGCAAAUCUCUCUCCGACCAGUACUCGUCUGGUGGUCGUGAGUCGAUUUUUUUGUUUU
rnacentral:misc_RNA from 1 species